CAAUAGCGUAUAUUAAAGUUGUUGCAGUUAAAAAGCUCGUAGUUGGAUUUCUGGUUCGCUGCGCCUGGCCCGCCUGCGUUAGCAGUGUGAGUGCCGGUUGCGCGGUAGCCAUCCUUCUGGAGAACGGGCCCGCCCUUCACUGGGUGGGGUCCGCGACCCAGAUCCUUUACUUUGAAAAAUUAGAGUGUUAAAGCAGGCAGUUGCUCUGAAUACAUUAGCAUGGAAUAAUGACAUAGGACUUUGGUUCUAUUUUGUUGGUUUCUAGGACUGAAGUAAUGAUUGAUAGGGAUCGUUGGGGGUGCUAGUAUUGAGCGGCCAGAGGUGAAAUUCUUGGAUUCGCUCAAGACUAACUUAUGCGAAAGCAUUCACCAAGGAGAUCUUCUUUAAUCAAGAACGAAAGUUGGGGAUCGAAGAUGAUCAGAUACC
rnacentral:rRNA from 1 species